rnacentral:rRNA from 1 species
CUUGUUGGUGGGGUAACGGCCCACCAAGGCGACGACGGGUAGCUGGUCUGAGAGGACGGCCAGCCACACUGGGACUGAGACACGGCCCAGACUCCUACGGGAGGCAGCAGUGGGGGAUCUUGCGCUAAUGCGCGAAAGCGUGACGCAGCGACGCCGCGUGGGGGAUGAAGGCCCUCGGGUUGUAAACCCCUUUCGGCAGGGACGAAGGGAAACUGACGGUACCUGCAGAAGAAGUCCCGGCUAACUACGUGCCAGCAGCCGCGGUAACACGUAGGGGACGAGCGUUGUCCGGAUUCAUUGGGCGUAAAGCGCGCGUAGGCGGCUCGGAAAGUCGGGCGUGAAAUGCCGGGGCUCAACCCCGGGACUGCGUCCGAUACUUCCGAGCUGGAGGUAGGUAGGGGAGAUCGGAAUUCCUGGUGUAGCGGUGAAAUGCGCAGAUAUCAGGAGGAACACCGGUGGCGAAGGCGGAUCUCUGGGCCUUACCUGACGCUGAGGCGCGAAAGCUAGGGGAGCGAACAGGAUUAGAUACCCUGGUAGUCCUAGCCGUAAACGUUGGGUGCUAGGUGUGGGCGGACAUCGACCCCGUCCGUGCCGAAGCUAACGCAUUAAGCACCCCGCCUGGGGAGUACGGCCGCAAGGCUAAAACUCAAAGGAAUUGACG